GACAGAGGGUGCAAACGUUGUUCGGAAUUACUGGGCGUAAAGCGCGUGUAGGCGGCUCGGAAAGUCGGGUGUGAAAGCCCUGGGCUCAACCCAGGAAGUGCAUUCGAAACUUCCGAGCUGGAGUCCUGGAGAGGAAGGCGGAAUUCUCGGUGUAGAGGUGAAAUUCGUAGAUAUCGAGAGGAACACCGGUGGCGAAGGCGGCCUUCUGGACAGUGACUGACGCUGAGACGCGAAAGCGUGGGGAGCAAACAGG
rnacentral:rRNA from 1 species